rnacentral:rRNA from 1 species
GAAGUCUGACCGAGCAACGCCGCGUGAGUGAAGAAGGUUUUCGGAUCGUAAAGCUCUGUUGUAAGUCAGGAACGUGUGUGAGAGUGGAGAGUUCACACAGUGACGGUAGCUUACCAGAAAGGGACGGCUAACUACGUGCCAGCAGCCGCGGUAAUACGUAGGUCCCGAGCGUUGUCCGGAUUUAUUGGGCGUAAAGGGAGCGCAGGCGGUCAGGAAAGUCUGGAGUAAAAGGCUAUGGCUCAACCAUAGUGUGCUCUGGAAACUGUCUGACUUGAGUGCAGAAGGGGAGAGUGGAAUUCCAUGUGUAGCGGUGAAAUGCGUAGAUAUAUGGAGGAACACCAGUGGCGAAAGCGGCUCUCUGGUCUGUCACUGACGCUGAGGCUCGAAAGCGUGGGUAGCGAACAGGAUUAGAUACCCUGGUAGUCCACGCCGUAAACGAUGAGUGCUAGGUGUUAGGCCCUUUCCGGGGCUUAGUGCCGGAGCUAACGCAAUAAGCACUCCGCCUGGGGAGUACGACCGCAAGGUUGAAACUCAAAGGAAUUGACGGGGGCCCGCACAAGC